rnacentral:rRNA from 1 species
GACGAACGCUGGCGGCGUGCUUAACACAUGCAAGUCGAACGGAAAGGCCCUGCUUUUGUGGGGUGCUCGAGUGGCGAACGGGGGAGUAACACGUGAGUAACCUGUCCUUGACUUCGGGAUAACUUCAGGAAACUGGGGCUAAUACCGGAUAUGAGCUCCUUCUACAUGGUGGGGGUUGGAAAGUUUCGGCGUUUGGGGAUGGACGCGUGGUGUAUCAUCGUGUUGGUGGGGUAGUGGCGUACCAAGGCAUUGAGGGGUAGCCGGCCUGAGAGGGUGACCGGGCACAUUGGGACUGAGAUACGGCCAAGACUCUUACGGGAGGCAGCAGUGGGGAAUAGUGCACAAUGGGCGGAAGCCUGAUGCAGCAACGCCGCGUGCGGGAUGACGGCCUUCGGGUUGUAAACCGCUUUCGCCUGUGACGAAGAGUGAGUGACGGUAAUGGGUAAAGAAGCACCGGCUAACUACGUG